UGGGGAAUUCUGCGCAAUGGGGGAAACCCUGACGCAGCAACGCCGCGUGGAGGAUGAAGUCCUUCGGGACGUAAACUCCUUUCGAUCGGGACGAUUAUGACGGUACCGGAAGAAGAAGCCCCGGCUAACUUCGUGCCAGCAGCCGCGGUAAUACGAGGGGGGCGAGCGUUGUUCGGAAUUACUGGGCGUAAAGAGUGUGUAGGUGGUGCUCUAAGUUUGGUGUGAAAUCUCCCGGCUUAACUGGGAGGGUGCGCCGAAAACUGGAGUGCUUGAGUAUGGGAGAGGUAAGCGGAAUUCCUGGUGUAGCGGUGAAAUGCGUAGAUAUCAGGAGGAACACCUGUGGUGUAGACAGCUUACUGGACCAUCACUGACACUGAGACACGAAAGCGUGGGUAGCAAACAGGAUUAGAUACCCUGGUAGUCCACGCCCUAAACGAUGCAUACUUGGUGUGAGCCAUUCAUUUGGUUCGUGCCGGAGCUAACGCGUUAAGUAUGCCGCCUGGGGAGUACGGUCGCAAGGCUG
rnacentral:rRNA from 1 species